rnacentral:rRNA from 1 species
CCUACGGGUGGCUGCAGUGGGGAAUAUUGCACAAUGGGCGCAAGCCUGAUGCAGCCAUGCCGCGUGUAUGAAGAAGGCCUUCGGGUUGUAAAGUACUUUCAGUCGUGAUGAAGGUGUUAAGGUUAAUAACCUUAGCAAUUGACGUUAGCGACAGAAGAAGCACCGGCUAACUCCGUGCCAGCAGCCGCGGUAAUACGGAGGGUGCGAGCGUUAAUCGGAAUUACUGGGCGUAAAGGGCACGCAGGCGGUUAAGACAGUUGGCUGGCAAAUCGCCGGGCGUACGCUGGGAAUGGCAGUCAAGAGUGGAUAGAGAGAGUCUAGUAGAGGGGGGUAAAAUUCAAGGUAUGGCGGUGAACGGCGAAAAGAGGUGGAGAGAAGGCGGUGGCGAAGGCGACCCCUAGAACAAGGACUGACGCUCAUGUGGGAAAGCGCGGGGAGAAAACAGGAUUAGAGACCAGGGUAGUC